UACAGAGGUCUCAAGCGUUGUUCGGAUUCAUUAGGCGUAAAGGGUGCGUAGGCGGCGCGGUAAGUCGGAUGUGAAAUCUCGGAGCUUAACUCCGAAACUGCAUUCGAUACUGCCGUGCUUGAGGACUGGAGAGGAGACUGGAAUUUACGGUGUAGCGGUGAAAUGCGUAGAUAUCGUAAGGAAGACCAGUGGCGAAGGCGGGUCUCUGGACAGUUCCUGACGCUGAGGCACGAAGGCCAGGGGAGCAAACGGG
rnacentral:rRNA from 1 species